rnacentral:rRNA from 1 species
GACGAACGCUGGCGGCGUGCUUAACACAUGCAAGUCGAACGGAAAGGCCCUGCUUUUGUGGGGUGCUCGAGUGGCGAACGGGUGAGUAACACGUGAGUAACCUGCCCUUGACUUUGGGAUAACUUCAGGAAACUGGGGCUAAUACCGGAUAGGAGCUCCUGCUGCAUGGUGGGGGUUGGAAAGUUUCGGCGGUUGGGGAUGGACUCGCGGCUUAUCAGCUUGUUGGUGGGGUAGUGGCUUACCAAGGCUUUGACGGGUAGCCGGCCUGUGAGGGUGACCGGCCACAUGGGGACUGAGAUACGGCCCAGACUCCUACGGGAGGCAGCAGUGGGGAAUAUUGCACAAUGGGCGGAAGCCUGAUGCAGCAACGCCGCGUGCGGGAUGACGGCCUUCGGGUUGUAAACCGCUUUCGCCUGUGACGAAGCGUGAGUGACGGUAAUGGGUAAAGAAGCACCGGCUAACUACGUG